AGGACGGGAAUGGAUGGGCUGGGUCCGGACACCAUGAUAAAUAUUUUCAAGGGAUGGGAACCGAGACUCGAACCCAGGUCCUCUAGAGUGGAAAGCCGAAGCAUUUCAAAUUGAAUUCCUGGACAUUGAUAUCAGAUGUGGCGCAGGUGAGUGUGCUCUUUCCGUUUUUGGGAGAAAUAUUUAUGUCCCUUUCUUUGUUGGAGCGGGGGCGGGUGAACCAUGGAAUUUUGGGUUGGCGGCCUUUGGAGCACUGCUGGGCGGAGCCUUUACACACUGUACUUUGGUGGAGGAUAGGCGGCGGGAGAUGGAAUGGAUAUUGCAGCGGGCCGUGGAGCAUGGUUGUGGGAAGAGUGUCGUCGGCGGGCUUCUUGGAGAGAUUGGUGGAGCUGAGCAGGGUGGUAAUAGUGAUGAGCAGGUGGAUGAUGGACCGCCAUAUACGAUGGACAUUGGUUCUAUCACGUUAAAGUUUGGAAGGAGACUGGAGAGGCUCUCGGGACGGGGAGUCGCCUUCCACAGAGGAGGUGCUUUGUUCAACCGUGUCGGAGGCGACAGGGAUGGGGUUGGCUGGGCUGUCUCCCCGGAGUGUAUCGGAUUCCUUUCCUGGAUGGUGGUACC
rnacentral:lncRNA from 1 species